GAAAAUUCUCUACACAAAUCUAACAUUUACAAUGUUAUUAUUCCUGAACAUUCUCUACAUCUAAUGUGAUAAUACACCUUCAUGAUUUAUGGUACAUGGCUGGACAGAAAUCUACCUCCAAGCAAGUUCCAGCCUGCAUAUUUACCUGUGUGUGUACUCUUGUAGGGCCUUACUAUUAUCUUGAAAUAUUUUCUAUACAGUGUACGUCUCUUCUGCAAAUGGAGUAGAAAGCUGCUGAGCUUUCUUCUCUAUCCAGACAUAAGGAGGGGAGAUCAGUUGAUUGACAGCUAUAUUAUUUUGUAUCGCUUUUGUAAUUAACCAUGUAAAUUGCAGCCACUGUGACAAAUGCUCCAAUUAGUUGCACAGGUGUGAAGAUCUCAUCUAGAUAUAGGAACCCAAAAAUUGAUGCAAACAUUGGAGUUAAAAAGGUAAGGGAGCUGAGCUUUGUCAGGCUACCUCUUGUUGCAUUGUAGAAGUAUACACCAUAGCUUAUGGCACUUCCAAAGAUUGAGGUAUAGAGCAAUGCCAACAAGUCAUUUGUUGUUAGUUCCAUCAAACUCCCACUAAUGACAGGUUCAUGAUUGAGAAUUGAGAUAGCCACCAGAGGAAGUCCCCCAAUAACCAUGUGCCAUCCAGUAGCCAUGACUGGGUCCGAGUAUUUAGAAACCCAACGAACCAUUACUGUGCCGACAGCCAUGCUUUGUGCUGCUAGAAACAUCCACCACUCUCCACUUCCCCAGAUUGAAAAGUUGCUAUUAUCAAAAGAGAGAGCAGGUACCUCAAGGAGUAAAAGGCCUAUCACCCCGAGCACAAGACCUGCAGCUCCGACAGAACCUAUGGACUCUCCAAAUAACAAAGCUGCAAGCACAGCCACUGUCAGAGGCUGUGAAUCAAUUAUCACACUGCCUAAGCCAGCAGAUGUCCUCUGAAGUCCUUCUGCAAGAAAUCCCUGAAAACAAGUAGCAUCAACUACAGCGAAGAGUGUAAUAGAGAGCCAAGCAUUGAAUCCAGAAGGGAGAUUUCUACCCCUUGAAGCAGCAAAACCGACCAACAUUAACCCAGCAGGAAUCAACCUAAAUGAUGAAACGAAAAAAGGUCCAGUCUUUGGCAAAACCUCCUUCAUUGCAACCAUAGCUGUACCCCAGAAGAAGAAAGGCGAAAUUAGCAAAACCCAUUCCAAAAUCGUCUGAAGCAACUCCAUGGAUGACACCCCUUCAUCUUGAAACCGUAAAUUAGAGUCUUUGGGGAAUUCCUCAGAAGGGUUCACUACACACUCCACGUCAAGCCCAGUUCCUACACAGUCAAGUUCUGAUGAUGAUGGUGGUGAGUUCUGUUCAACCCCAGAUUCAGUUCUUGAGCAAGCAGUAAACUUUUUGGUGCG
rnacentral:misc_RNA from 1 species